AUGAACCCCUGCAGUCGGUUGGGGAUGGUGGGUCCCAUACUGCCUAACUUCCCUAAUUGGGUAGCUUCACUUUUAGAACCCCAGGUCCUUCCCUGGCAGGCCCAGGUGGCACGUCCUGUGUGGGGUGGGCCCUCACCCUGGAUCCCCCGGGUGCCCUGGCCCCUUGCUGGGCCUGUGACUGCCCAGCUGGAUGGAGCCAUGGCUGCUGCGUUCCUGCUGCUGUUGCUGCUGUGGCCACAGGGCCGCAUCUCAGGGACAGGCCCCUCUGCUGGGAGCGCAUACACAAAAGUGAGGCUCCUUGAAAGGGGGACUCUGUCUGUGCAGUGCUUCUGUAAGGGCUACAAAAACCGCAUGGAGGGCAAGGUUUGGUGCAAAAUCAGGAAGAAGUGUGAGCCUGGUUUCACCCAAGUCUGGGUGAAAGGGCCCCGCUACUUGCUGCAGGACGACGCCCAGGCCAAGGUGGUCAACAUCACCAUGGUGGCCCUCAAGCUCCAGGACUCAGGCCGAUACUGGUGCAUGCGCAACACCUCUGGGAUCCUGUACCCCUUGAUGGGCUUCCAGCUGGAUGUGUCUCCA
rnacentral:lncRNA from 1 species